AUCCACCUGACGAGUCCCAAAUAGGACGAAACACGCGUCCUGGAU
rnacentral:hammerhead_ribozyme from 1 species